rnacentral:sRNA from 1 species
ACGUACCGCUCAUCCACUCCGGCCUCCUCAGCGCCGUCCGCCGCAACCCGACGACCGCUCGCUACGUUCUGCGAGCC